UACGUAGGGUGCAAGCGUUAAUCGGAAUUAGUACUGGGCGUAAAGCGUUGCGCAGGCGGUUAUGUAAGACAGAUGUGAAAUGCCCGGGCUUAACCUGGGAACUGCAUUUGUGACUGCAUGGCUAGAGUUUGGCAGAGGGGGGUAAGAAUUCCACGUGUAGCAGUGAAAUGCGUAGAUAUGUGGAGGAACACCGAUGGCGAAGGCAGCCCCCUGGGUCAAGACUGACGCUCAUGCACGAAAGCGUGGGAGCAACAGGAUAGAGACCUUGUA
rnacentral:rRNA from 1 species